rnacentral:tRNA from 1 species
GUGGCUGUAGUUCAGGGGCAGAACGCCUGACUGUGGCUCAGGAGGUCGAGGGUUCAAAUCCCUUCAGCCACCCA